AAAGAAGGAGAAAGAGAAAGAGAAAGAGAAAGAGAAGGAAAAGAACAAACUUUUUGGAUUUUGACUUCAAGAAUUUUAGAGUGCUAUUUUUUUCUGUUUUUGUUUUCUCUCUUUUGGUUUUGGGGAAGGAUGAGUGAUGGUGGUGAAGAGGAAUGGAAGGCAAGAAUUCUUGUGAACAAGAAU
rnacentral:ribozyme from 13 species